CAGUCCAGUUGUUACUGUCUUGUGUUAAUGGAGAAGGACCCCAAAGUGAAUGGAGUAUAAGCCCUGUCCGUUGUGCAGGAGGCCAGCAGAUGGAGCAGUGCUCCUGUGCAUGAGGCUGUGCGGGGCCGCAUCCAGAGCUGCGCUGUGCAGUCGAGCCGAUCGGCCCCUGUGCAUCUAUAAAGCGCGGAAUAAAAGGUUCACCUGGUGGAACUGA
rnacentral:lncRNA from 1 species